rfam:Otolemur garnettii contig063883, whole genome shotgun sequence.
AAGACAGUAUUUUCAGGAAUUGUUAAUAUAUUUUGUGACUGGAAAAGUUUCUGUGAACAUGCAGAUUACUGGAAACCAUGAGGAAAGGUGCAGCAUUCUGUCCUGAGCAGGAAACAUCGUCUGAUGUUGUUUCACUGCUAUCAGCAUUUGUUACUGAUGACUAUUCUUCUCUCUCUCCAGGAGAGUCAGAGAGUCAGGACACAGUCUGAGU